AACAAGUUGACAUCCAAUUUUUUUAUUAUGAAGAAUCUGUCAUUGUAAAAAUAUGACUCUGCAGACAAAUUCUCGGAGAGCAGUAAAUACCAGAAGCCCAGCCAGAAAAACCCAGCACCCUGUUGAGAUCGGGAAAAGGCAACAUUGACUUAUUUUCACUUAAGUUUGUGACUUGGAAAAAAAUCAACAGAGACGGUUUUCUUCUUCUUGCCAAGGCCUGUGGCCGCAAGUUCUUUGCAUGCCCGUUUCUUUCACCGAAGCCAGCGGCAGCCCCAGUGUGCUUGAGCCACUUGAGUCCUAAGGGCCUACUGCUUCAUGUCCAUUUCCCAGAAUUCAGAAAAGUGCGGUGCUCAGCUGGGCCAGCAGCAGCUUCUCUGCGGAUCCCACCCUGGCUAUUAAGACAUCUUCCUUGCUGCGCUGUGGUGAUCGCCCUGGGAGAGCCUGAGGAAUGAAGCCCUGUGGGACUGAUCACCUCCCACCCCACCAGGGUUGUGCUGUCUCCUGUGGAGGAGGCAGGGACGGAGGAGGAGAGGCACUGGGGCCGUUGGAAGCGUUGGACUUGUGGUACCUCCAAAUUCACCAAGGAGACUCUCGGAUACACAAUAACACAGAGAGAAGAUGGCCUUGGUCAGAGCGGAGGAGCUCUUCCUUAACGAUAAACAGUGUGAACCGGAUGCACUGCAGAGAUAAGGAGGGGGCUGGAGGUGCACCAUCUCCACGAUCACCCCACACCUCUGACCUACAGGAAGUCUGCUCAGCAUCCAGGACCCAGCUUUGCUCCCACUCCGAGAGCUUUUGCAAAUAG
rnacentral:lncRNA from 1 species